UAUAACCGGCGAUACCCGAAUGGGGAAACCCAGUGUGACUCGUCACACUAUCAUUAACUGAAUCCAUAGGUUAAUGAGGCGAACCGGGGGAACUGAAACAUCUAAGUACCCCGAGGAAAAGAAAUCAACCGAGAUUCCCCCAGUAGCGGCGAGCGAACGGGGAGGAGCCCAGAGCCUGAAUCAGCAUGUGUGUUAGUGGAAGCGUCUGGAAAGGCGCGCGAUACAGGGUGACAGCCCCGUACACAAAAGCGCAUGUGCUGUGAGCUCGAUGAGUAGGGCGGGACACGUGGUAUCCUGUCUGAAUAUGGGGGGACCAUCCUCCAAGGCUAAAUACUCCUGACUGACCGAUAGUGAACCAGUACCGUGAGGGAAAGGCGAAAAGAACCCCGGCGAGGGGAGUGAAAAAGAACCUGAAACCGUGUACGUACAAGCAGUGGGAGCACCCUUUGGGUGUGACUGCGUACCUUUUGUAUAAUGGGUCAGCGACUUAUAUUCUGUAGCAAGGUUAACCGAAUAGGGGAGCCGGAGGGAAACCGAGUCUUAACCGGGCGUUAAGUUGCAGGGUAUAGACCCGAAACCCGGUGAUCUAGCCAUGGGCAGGUUGAAGGUUGGGUAACACUAACUGGAGGACCGAACCGACUAAUGUUGAAAAAUUAGCGGAUGACCUGUGGCUGGGGGUGAAAGGCCAAUCAAACCGGGAGAUAGCUGGUUCUCCCCGAAAGCUAUUUAGGUAGCGCCUCGUGAAUUCAUCUCCGGGGGUAGAGCACUGUUUCGGCUAGGGGGCCAUCCCGGCUUACCAACCCGAUGCAAACUGCGAAUACCGGAGAAUGUUAUCACGGGAGACACACGGCGGGUGCUAACGUCCGUCGUGAAGAGGGAAACAACCCAGACCGCCAGCUAAGGUCCCAAAGUCAUGGUUAAGUGGGAAACGAUGUGGGAAGGCCCAGACAGCCAGGAUGUUGGCUUAGAAGCAGCCAUCAUUUAAAGAAAGCGUAAUAGCUCACUGGUCGAGUCGGCCUGCGCGGAAGAUGUAACGGGGCUAAACCAUGCACCGAAGCUGCGGCAGCGACACUGUGUGUUGUUGGGUAGGGGAGCGUUCUGUAAGCCUGUGAAGGUGUGUCGUGAGGCAUGCUGGAGGUAUCAGAAGUGCGAAUGCUGACAUAAGUAACGAUAAAGCGGGUGAAAAGCCCGCUCGCCGGAAGACCAAGGGUUCCUGUCCAACGUUAAUCGGGGCAGGGUGAGUCGACCCCUAAGGCGAGGCCGAAAGGCGUAGUCGAUGGGAAACGGGUUAAUAUUCCCGUACUUGGUGUUACUGCGAAGGGGGGACGGAGAAGGCUAUGUUGGCCGGG
rnacentral:rRNA from 1 species